UGUAGGAGUGAGCCUGCUCGCGAUAGCGGUGUGUCAGCCCAGGAAAUGGUGACUGAUACAUUGCUAUCGCGAGCAGGCUCACUCCUACA
rnacentral:antisense_RNA from 1 species